UUGAAGAUGUUUAAAUCGCUCCCCAACUGUCAUUUUGGAAGAACAACGGGGCAAAGCCACUGGUUUCAACUGUUUUAAGAAGAGCACAUGGAUACAUUUGUGAGAGAAAAACUCGUCGAAUGCAGUCUUAUCGAGACGUCUAACGGUUGGAACAAACGUGGAAUUCCUUAACCGAGCAGAGUCCACAAAACCCCCAUCCAUUUGUCAUGGCAAUUUGAAAAUGCCAGCAGAUCUAUCAGACAUUGAUCAUAAUCAAUGGACAGGUCACCGUAGCCACCCCAGAUCCAGUCUGUAUCCAGAUCAGAUGGUGGAGAGAUGACCUCUACAGCCCUGAAAGACAGCGGAGACCAGGACAACUAGAUGAGCCCCAGAGACAGAUCCCCUGUAAAGACCUUGUCUCCUAGACGGACAUCGGCACAAGUCAUCGGGAACCAGAUGAGUCCACUGCACAAUCUGACUCUGCUGCAGCCUGGAAUUGAACCGCUGGUUUGGUCUGGCCAGAGGAGAACUUGCCCCCCAACUGAGCCUGAUUUCUCCCAAGGUUUUUUCUCAAUUCUAUCACCGAUGGAGUUUUGGUUCCUUGCCGCUGUUGCCUCUGGCUUGCUUAGCUGGGGACACUUAAUAUCCAGCGAUAUCGUCUACUUGAAUGCACAGCUGGACGAUAAAUCACUGAAUCAAUGAUGAACUGACUUUAACUGAAAAUUGAGUAUUUACUGUUGUCCUUUUGCAUUAUUACACACUAUUUUCCUAUUUAAUACUGUAAAGCUGCUUUGACACUGUAUUUUUCACUGUGCAUUCGUGAAAACGCAAAAAGUAAUGCAAGAUUUGCAAUUGUGUUUUGAUUAUGUCACAAUUUGUCACGU